AGAGCGGAAAAGGAUUUUAUUACAGCUGGGAAAUUCUGUUGCUCACCAAUGAGGAGGCACCUCUGUGGUAACACACAGGCACUGGCCAGAGUUCUGCCACUGGGGGCUUGGAGCUACAGGAAUCAGCCGGGGCUGGGAUGCUCCAAAGGAAGAAAACUAAAGCCAGCUGCACCAGACUGAGUCAGUGGAGACCAUAGGAGCCUGGGAGCUCUGUACUGAAGGUUGUGUUGUGAAGUAGGUUAUUUACAUUCUUAUAAAACAGGGAGGGAGGGAAAAGAGGGACGGGGUCAGGUGGUAAAGUCAGCAGUCAGUCCCUGCUAAAGGAUUGAUGAUCUCCCAAAAUGAGAGGCUGUUUCUAUCCUAAUAAAGAAGCAUACAUAGUAUGCUUUCCUUUUAAACAC
rnacentral:lncRNA from 1 species